rnacentral:lncRNA from 1 species
GAUCAAACAUGGAGAAGUAGGAGAUAUCCAUAGUGGGGAAGUGGUGGUGAGAGCACAGCUACUGAAAGUGGAGGGAAACAGUUUUAGAAGUGCCACCUGAGAACAGAUUAUACAGAGCCUGAAUUCUAGGCCAGGACCCUUAUGAUGAGGGCAAGUCAUCAAAGGUUUCUGAGCACUGGAGUGCCAUGUGCCCUGGGAAGGCUAUUUGGGAGGCCGUGUGCAGCCUGCGUAAGAUUCAACAGGGGAUGGAGAGGAGGAGGCCAGUUAGAAGAGCUGCCACCAUCUAGGUAAACCUUAAUGUGGGAUUAAGCAAGGCCGGAGGCUGACAAGUGUAAGGAGUGUGUGGGAGAGUCAUUCAACAGGCAUUUAUUAUGUAUCUGUUCUAUUCCCCAGUUGUGUCAGUCACUAUGGGGGUGAAAACUCAAAAGCAACACAAUUCUUGCCUACUAGGUGCUUGGAAUAUGACAUGAGGGGUGAAUCAGGCAAGGGAAAACUUGUCCUUCCUGAGCACUUGCCCUUAUGGCCUCAUGGCAUAAGAACGAGCUAGUUUACCCCCCACUCAUCCCCCACUCAGCACCUGUGAACAGUCCCCACUUCCACCCAAUACCACCAAGGAUAGAGGUUUAAAGUUUUAAGGUAAGAUGUAGUCUGCUGUCCAUCCUUUGUUGUUUUUGUUUUCUUUCCAACUUUUAUUUUAGGUUCAAGGGGUACAUGUACAAGUUUGUUACAUGGAUAAAUUGUGUGUCCUGGGAGUUUGUCGUACAGAUAAUUUUGUCACCCAGGUAAUCAGUAUAAUACCUGAUAGGUAGUUUUUCAAUCCUCACUCUCCUUCCACCCUUCACCCUCAAGUAAGACCCAGUGUCUAUUUUUCCCUUCUUUAUGUCCCUGUGCACUCAAUGUUUACCUCCCACUUGUAAGUGAGAACAUGCGGUUUUUGGUUUUCUGUUCCUGUGUUAGUUUGCUUAGGAUAAUGGCCUCUAGCUCCAUCCGUGGUGCUGCAAACAACAUGAUCUUAUUCUUUUUUCUGUGGCUGUGUAGUAUUCCAUGGUGUAUAUGUA